rnacentral:rRNA from 1 species
GUCCACGCCGUAAACGAUGGGCACUAGAUGUGGGCGGUGUCGACUCCGUCCGUGUCGCAGCUAACGCAUUAAGUGCCCCGCCUGGGGAGUACGGCCGCAAGGCUAAAACUCAAAGGAAUUGACGGGGGCCCGCACAAGCAGCGGAGCAUGUGGUUUAAUUCGACGCAACGCGAAGAACCUUACCUGGGCUUGACAUGUCCGUGAAAACCCUGGAAACAGGGUCCCUCUUCGGAGCGCGGUCACAGGUGGUGCAUGGCUGUCGU